rfam:Homo sapiens chromosome 15, GRCh38 reference primary assembly.
GCCAGGCGUGGUGAUGCAUGCCUAUAGUCCCAGCUACUUGGGAGGCUGAGGUGGGAGGAUCAUUUGAGCCCAGGAGUUCGAGGCUGCAGUGAGCCAUGAUCGUGCCCCUGCACUCCAGCCUGGGCAACAGAAUGAGACUCCAUCUCCC